rnacentral:rRNA from 1 species
GCGAGUGAACCGGGAAGAGCUCAAAUUUGAAAUCUGGCUGUCUUCGAUAGUCCGAGUUGUAAUCUAUAGAAGCGUUUUCCGUGCUGAACUGUGUCUAAGUCCCUUGGAACAGGGUAUCAAAGAGGGUGACAAUCCCGUACUUGACACAAUCAUCAGUGCUCUGUGAUACGUUCUCUACGAGUCGAGUUGUUUGGGAAUGCAGCUCAAAAUGGGUGGUAAAUUCCAUCUAAAGCUAAAUAUUGGCGAGAGACCGAUAGCGAACAAGUACCGUGAGGGAAAGAUGAAAAGCACUUUGGAAAGAGAGUUAAACAGUACGUGAAAUUGUUAAAAGGGAAACGAUUGAAGUCAGUCGUGUUUAUUGGAUUCAGCCGGUCUUCGGUGUACUUCCUUUAAACGGGUCAACAUCAGUUUUGUCCGGUGGAUAAAGGCAGUAGGAAUGUGGCUCCCUCGGGAGUGUUAUAGCCUAUUGUCACAUACACUGGAGGAGACUGAGGACUGCAGCUCGCCUUUUGGCCGGGGUUCGCCCACGUUCGAGCUUAGGAUGUUGACAUAAUGGCUUUAAACGACCC